GUUUAUCUUCGAGUUUUGUGCAAAGCACAAAACAUCGCAUUAUUGUAUGUAGUUUUGCAAAAGCAAAACUACUUGAAAAAACUUUUUUCGCAAAUUGAUAUUUGCUGCAAAAAGUUUUUAUUGGA
rfam:Treponema denticola ATCC 35405, complete genome.